rnacentral:rRNA from 1 species
GGCGAACGCUGGCGGCAGGCCUAACACAUGCAAGUCGAAUGAACUCUUCGGAGUUAGUGGCGGACGGGUGAGUAACACGUGGGAACGUGCCUUUUGGUUCGGAAUAACUCAGGGAAACUUGUGCUAAUACCGAAUGUGCCCUUCGGGGGAAAGAUUUAUCGCCAUUAGAGCGGCCCGCGUCUGAUUAGCUAGUUGGUGAGGUAACGGCUCACCAAGGCGACGAUCAGUAGCUGGUCUGAGAGGAUGACCAGCCACACUGGGACUGAGACACGGCCCAGACUCCUACGGGAGGCAGCAGUGGGGAAUCUUGCGCAAUGGGCGAAAGCCUGACGCAGCCAUGCCGCGUGAAUGAUGAAGGUCUUAGGAUUGUAAAAUUCUUUCACCGGGGACGAUAAUGACGGUACCCGGAGAAGAAGCCCCGGCUAACUUCGUG